rnacentral:rRNA from 1 species
GAUGAACGCUGGCGGCGUGCUUAACACAUGCAAGUCGAGCGAAGCGCUUUGAAUUUUUCGGAAUGAGAAGUGACUGAGCGGCGGACGGGUGAGUAACGCGUGGGUAACCUGCCUCAUACAGGGGGAUAACAGUUAGAAAUGACUGCUAAUACCGCAUAAGCGCACGUCAUCGCAUGAUGGUGUGUGAAAAACUCCGGUGGUAUGAGAUGGACCCGCGUCUGAUUAGGUAGUUGGUGGGGUAACGGCCCACCAAGCCGACGAUCAGUAGCCGGACUGAGAGGUUGAACGGCACAUUGGGACUGAGACACGGCCCAG